GACGUAGGGCGCGAGCGUUGUCCGGAUUUAUUGGGCGUAAAGAGCUCGUAGGCGGCUUGUCGCGUCGUCUGUGAAAACCCGCGGCUCAACGGCGGGCUUGCAGUCGAUACGGGCAGGCUGGAGUUCGGUAGGGGAGACUGGAAUUCCUGGUGUAGCAGUGAAAUGCGUAGAUAUCGUAAGGAAGACCAGUGGCGAAGGCGAAUCUCUGGACAGUUACUGACACUGAGGCACGAAGGCCAGGGGAGCAAACCGGG
rnacentral:rRNA from 1 species